rnacentral:rRNA from 1 species
AGACUCNUACGGGAGGCAGCAGUGGGGAAUAUUGGACAAUGGGGGGAACCCUGAUCCAGCCAUGCCGCGUGUGUGAAGAAGGCCUUUUGGUUGUAAAGCACUUUAAGCGAGGAGGAGGCUUACCUGGUUAAUACCCGGGAUAAGUGGACGUUACUCGCAGAAUAAGCACCGGCUAACUCUGUGCCAGCAGCCGCGGUAAUACAGAGGGUGCAAGCGUUAAUCGGAUUUACUGGGCGUAAAGCGCGCGUAGGUGGCUAAUUAAGUCAAAUGUGAAAUCCCCGAGCUUAACUUGGGAAUUGCAUUCGAUACUGGUUAGCUAGAGUAUGGGAGAGGAUGGUAGAAUUCCAGGUGUAGCGGUGAAAUGCGUAGAGAUCUGGAGGAAUACCGAUGGCGAAGGCAGCCAUCUGGCCUAAUACUGACACUGAGGUGCGAAAGCAUGGGGAGCAAACAGGAUUAGAUACCCUGGUAGUCCAUGCCGUAAACGAUGUCUACUAGCCGUUGGGGCCCUUGAGGCUUUAGUGGCGCAGCUAACGCGAUAAGUAGACCGCCUGGGGAGU